GUGCCCUUUAGGCUAGGAGCUGUAUCUCCAGCCUGGGACAUUGACAUCUUUAUAGCUUCCCCAGAGCAAGUGAAAAGUGAAACUCAAGACAAAGUCAGGUUCUGUACCCUCAUGGACACAGUUUAUACCAACUGUCUGCAUUGCCUCUUUUUCUUUGUGCAAAUCUUGGCUGCAAGUGCCAAAACCAAACUUGAACAAGAAGAAAUAGGAAGUGGAAUUCAGUGACUCAUGGAAUCCUAGGAAAAUCUGAGGAAUUAAACCACAGAAAAGGCAGGCCAUAGAAGCAUUUCAGACUUAGUGAAAAGCAAAAACUCCAACUCUGGUAGCAAGGCUCCCCAGCUCUCUGCUCCCCUUUCCAUGGUGUCUUUAUUUCUUCUUUUACAGACAGCUUUUCAUGAGUAGACGGGCAGCCUGGUCUGUCACAGCAUCUAAAUGUGGCUUGUGUGGGUGUGGAUGCACGUGUGCAUAUGUGUGUACAUGUGUGUGCAGGUCACUCAUCUGGUGCCUCCCACCUUUUGUUUAACAUCAGUUCCCUUAUUGCCCUGGAACUUCGCCAAGUAGCUGCUAGUGGGUGGCCAGGGAGCUUCUAGGGGUUCACCUAUCACCAUCUCAUUAUAAGCACAUGCCACCAUGUCCCAACAGGAAAAUGGACUAUUCUGUUUCUCUCUCUAUUAUGCAGAGUUUAAGGAAAAUGGCAAUAAUAACAACACAUCUUCAGUAUCAGCAAGAAGCUAUUCAGAAGAAUGUUGAACAGUCACCUGACCUGCAGGACCAGUUGAGUCAUUUAUUGAAGUAGCGUGUCAUGACAGAAACUGACUUCCUGGCCUG
ensembl:lincRNA